CGGGGUAUGGCGUAAUGGUAACGCAAGCGACUGUGGAUCGCUGAAUGGGGGUUCGAUUCCCCCUAUCCUGAUUU
rnacentral:tRNA from 1 species